AUUGAACGCUGGCGGCAGGCUUAACACAUGCAAGUCGAACGAGUGGCGGACGGGUGAGUAAUGUCUGGGAAACUGCCUGAUGGCGGGGGAUAACUACUGGAAACGGUAGCUAAUACCGCAUACCAUCAGAUGUGCCCAGAUGGGAUUAGCUUGUUGGUGGGGUAACGGCUCACCAAGGCAACGAUCCCUAGCUGGUGUGAGAGGAUGACCAGCCACACUGGGACUGAGACACGGCCCAGACUCCUACGGGAGGCAGCAGUGGGGAAUAUUGGACAAUGGGCGAAAGCCUGAUGCAGCCAUGCCGCGUGUAUGAUGAAGGCCUUCGGGUUGUAAAGUACUUUCAGCAGGGAGGCGGUACCCGCAGAAGAAGCACCGGCUAACUCCGUGCCAGCAGCCGCGGUAAUUC
rnacentral:rRNA from 1 species